AGAGUCAGAUCAAGAGGACAACUGACCCUGAGCAACUUAAACAGGCCAGCGGGCUGAUCUUUAACUUAGCGUCUGUCUGUCUUCUCACUUCCUGCUCUCCUGAGCCUGCCUGAGUUACUUCCUGUCUGGAGCAGCCUUUGGUCAAGAGAUUUUUCUAAGGUCUUUCUGCUGAGGCUUACUCGGUAGAGACCGGGCACAGAAGCAAGCCUGUGUCCUGCAAGCCCGCUGCUCAUGGCUGUGAACAUCGAAGGGCAAGAACAGCCUACCUGGUGAUUUACCACCAUUAUUUCAGCAGUCCAGUCCUUUCAUCAAGUCUCAGUAGGCAGCGAGUACACUGCUUCUCAACCUGAGGGUCUUGACCCCUUUGGGGGUCACCUAAGACUAUUGGAAAACACAGAUAUUUGUGUAUGUUUCAGAAUCCCACGAAGGUUCUACUACUAAACAGAAACACUGGUACAGUCGCCCUUUAAGAGCAAACCCCAGCAGCCUCUUAUUCCCCUGUGUACCCAUGUUCCAAUCACCAGUCAUGAACAACGUUAAGCAGCCAGUGCUGGGCUGAGCCUUCGGAGGUGAGCAAGUGGAGUGUUGGGGCUUGAGCCCAGGUCCUCAUACACACUGAGCAUGUGCCCCACAGAAGACACACCUUGAAGGCAGCAUCUUUCACAAUGGUGUGGAAAUAGAAAACUGAGUGUCUGCAUGCAGAAGAGUGAACUCAGACCCCUAUCUAUCACUUUGCACAAAACCUAAGUCCAAAUGGACUGAAGACCUCACUAUGAAGCCUGCAAUACUGAAACUCGUAGAAGAAAGCACAGGCAGUGUCCUACAGAUCUAAGUGUAGCAAAGGACUUUGUGAAUAGGACUGCAUUUGCCCAAGGACUAAGGUCAGUAAUUGUCAAGUGGGUCCUCAUGAUAUUAAAAAGCUUUCUGCACAGCUUAAGGAAACAACAGGAUGAACAGGAAGCCCAUAGAAUGGGAGGGAAUUUCCAGCUACAUAUCUGACAGGGGCGUCUUAGUUAGAGUUUCCAUUGCUGCGAACAAACACCAUGACCACGGCAACGCUUAUAAAGAACAACGUUUAAUUGGCUUACAGGUUCUAAAGUUCAGUCUAUUACCAUCAUAGCAGGAAGUACGGCAGUGACUAGGCAGGCAUGGCACUGGAGGAGCUGAGAGUUCUACAUCUUCAUCCAAAGGAAGCCA